UACGAAGGGUGCAAGCGUUACUCGGAAUCACUGGGCGUAAAGGGCGCGUAGGCGGCCCCGUGCGUCACGCGUGAAAGCUCCCGGCUCACCUGGGAGAGGUCGUGUGAUACGGCGGGGCUCGAGCGAGGUAGGGGGGCCAUGGAAUUCCCGGUGUAGUGGGUGGAAUGCGUAGAUUAUCGAGAGGGAACACCAGUGGCGAAAGGCGAGUCCCUGGACAACACCUGACACUGAGGCACGAAAGCUAGGGGGAGCAAAACAGG
rnacentral:rRNA from 1 species